rnacentral:rRNA from 1 species
GCUAUAAUGCAGUCGAGCGGACAGAAGGGAGCUUGCUCCCGGAUGUUAGCGGCGGACGGGUGAGUAACACGUGGGUAACCUGCCUGUAAGACUGGGAUAACUCCGGGAAACCGGAGCUAAUACCGGAUAGUUCCUUGAACCGCAUGGUUCAAGGAUGAAAGACGGUUUCGGCUGUCACUUACAGAUGGACCCGCGGCGCAUUAGCUAGUUGGUGAGGUAACGGCUCACCAAGGCGACGAUGCGUAGCCGACCUGAGAGGGUGAUCGGCCACACUGGGACUGAGACACGGCCCAGACUCCUACGGGAGGCAGCAGUAGGGAAUCUUCCGCAAUGGACGAAAGUCUGACGGAGCAACGCCGCGUGAGUGAUGAAGGUUUUCGGAUCGUAAAGCUCUGUUGUUAGGGAAGAACAAGUGCAAGAGUAACUGCUUGCACCUUGACGGUACCUAACCAGAAAGCCACGGCUAACUACGUGCCAGCAGCCGCGGUAAUACGUAGGUGGCAAGCGUUGUCCGGAAUUAUUGGGCGUAAAGGGCUCGCAGGCGGUUUCUUAAGUCUGAUGUGAAAGCCCCCGGCUCAACCGGGGAGGGUCAUUGGAAACUGGGAAACUUGAGUGCAGAAGAGGAGAGUGGAAUUCCACGUGUAGCGGUGAAAUGCGUAGAGAUGUGGAGGAACACCAGUGGCGAAGGCGACUCUCUGGUCUGUAACUGACGCUGAGGAGCGAAAGCGUGGGGAGCGAACAGGAUUAGAUACCCUGGUAGUCCACGCCGUAAACGAUGAGUGCUAA